CCAAUAGCGUAUAUUAAAGUUGUUGCAGUUAAAAAGCUCGUAGUUGAAUUUCGGGAUCAAUAUAUCGGUCGUGCCAUCGGUACGUACUGGUAUCAUUGGUUUCUCCUUUCUGACGAACCAUGAUGUCAUUAAUUUGGUGUUAUGGGAAGUUAGGACUGUUACUUUGAAAAAAUUAGAGUGUUUAAAGCAGGCGAUAGCUUGAAUACAUUAGCAUGGAAUA
rnacentral:rRNA from 1 species